CUGGGCGAGCUGGCACUCAGCUUCUCGCGGGUGCCGCUCUUCCCCGUCUUCGACCUCAGUUACUUCAUCGUCUCCAUCCUCUACCUCAAGUAUGAGCCAGGAGCAGUCGAGCUGUCCCGGCGCCACCCCAUCGCGUCCUGGCUGUGCGCCAUGCUGCAUUGCUUUGGGAGCUACAUCCUGGCUGAUCUGCUCCUUGGGGAGCCACUGAUUGAUUACUUCAGCAACAACUCCAGCAUCCUGCUGGCCUCAGCUGUCUGGUACUUGAUUUUCUUCUGCCCCCUGGACCUCUUCUAUAAGUGUGUCUGCUUCCUGCCUGUGAAACUCAUCUUCGUGGCCAUGAAGGAGGUGGUGCGAGUCCGCAAGAUCGCAGUGGGCAUCCAUCACGCCCAUCACCACUACCACCACGGGUGGUUCGUCAUGAUUGCAACUGGGUGGGUCAAAGGUAAAUAGGAUGAUGACAGUGAAAAAUCAUCCCAGUGGAGAACUUUUGGUCCAGUGGUACUACCAGGCACCCCAGCUGGGAAAGCCAUUGCUCCAGGCAAAGGGGCAUAAAGACUGCAGUAGGUGUUCAAACCUCCCUACAGGUAUCAGCCGAUACCUUUAGGGUAAGUGGGAAGAUUCUUCUAGAAAUGUUACUGUCAGGGGUACCUAAGACAGUGAUUAUGACAACAAAAGCCAGCAUUGCCAGAGCAGGGUUUCUCACUUGCAGCACUACUGACAUGUGGGGCUGGAUCAUUCUUUGUGCACUGUAGGAUGUUGAACAGCACCCCUGGCCUCCACC
rnacentral:sRNA from 1 species